GGAAACUCUAGCCAGGUGAGUGAUGGUGCAGCUGCCAUCCUGCUGGCCCGGAGAUCCAAGGCAGAAGAGUUGGGCCUUCCCAUCCUUGGGGUCCUGAGGUCUUAUGCAGUGGUUGGGGUCCCACCUGACAUCAUGGGCAUUGGACCUGCCUACGCCAUCCCCGUAGCUUUGCAAAAAGCAGGUAAGGUGGCUCCUUCACAUCGUAUCUGGGUCCCACCUGGAUCCUGCAGCUGCCUUGCAUGCUGUUGCCAGGGGCAUGAGGGUGGUCCUGUGGGUGCUGCAGAGUGGAGGUGGGACAGGCUAGUGUCCCAUACUUCAAGCCUUUCCUGACCCCACAGCUGGGAUUGGCUCACCCUUCUGGAAGAGACACACACCAGGCAGCCUGUAGGCCCAUGGAUGGGGUGGGCCCCAGGGGAGGCAGAGGGCCAGUGUGUCAGCUCAGGUCUUUACCUUGUCUGCAGGGCUGACAGUGAGUGACGUGGACAUCUUCGAGAUCAAUGAGGCCUUUGCAAGCCAGGCUGCCUACUGUGUGGAGAAGCUACGACUCCCCCCUGAGAAGGUGAACCCUCUGGGGGGUGCAGUGGCCUUAGGGCACCCACUGGGCUGCACUGGGGCACGACAGGUCAUCACGCUGCUCAAUGAGCUGAAGCGCCGUGGGAAGAGGGCAUAUGGAGUGGUGUCCAUGUGCAUCGGGACUGGAAUGGGAGCCGCUGCCGUCUUUGAAUACCCUGGGAACUGAGUGAGGUCCCAGCCUGGAGGUGCUACGCAGACAGUCCUGCUGCUCUAGCAGCAAGGCAGUAACAUCACAAAAGCAAAACUACAUGGGAAAACUCAGCACUGGUGGUGGUGGCAGUGGACAGAUCAAGGCACUUCAAC
rnacentral:sRNA from 1 species